rnacentral:lncRNA from 1 species
UGUGCUGCCACGUGUUUGCCACAGCCCGGGUUUCACCUUCGGCCUCUGCUACUUUCCUCCACACCCCCCCCCGCCCCCGCAGUGGUGGAUUUUCCCCAACUCCUACGCGGGGAAUAUUUGCCAGCUUGUAACAUUCAAGCGACCGGGACUCUCCGGAGACCGGCGAGGAUAUGGGCCGCGCAGAGAGCGCCUGGCCGCGGUGCCCGGGGCCGGGAGCCGUUCCGCGGGAGGUGACGACGCAGGGCCCGGCUGCCGGCGGGGAGGAAGCGGCGGAGUUGGCCGAGGCUCCGGCGGUGGCAGCCGCUGCGGCAGGGGAGGCACGCGGCGGUCGCAGGAAGAAGACGCGCACGGUCUUCUCGCGCAGCCAGGUCUUCCAGCUCGAGUCCACUUUCGAUCUGAAACGCUACCUGAGCAGCGCGGAGCGCGCAGGCCUCGCCGCCUCGCUGCAACUCACGGAGACGCAGGUCAAGAUCUGGUUUCAGAACCGCCGCAACAAGUGGAAGCGGCAGCUGGCGGCCGAGCUGGAGGCGGCUAGCCUGUCCCCGCCCGGCGCGCAGCGCCUGGUCCGCGUGCCGGUGCUCUACCACGAGAGUCCCCCGGCCGCCACGGGGCCCACGCUGCCCUUCCCGCUGGCUCCGCCUGCACCCGCGCCGCCGCCGCCGCUGCUCGGUUUCUCGGGCGCGCUUGCCUACCCGCUGGCCGCCUUCCCCGCCGCCGCCUCGGUGCCCUUCCUUCGCGCGCAGAUGCCGGGGCUAGUGUGAGCCGGCGCCCUCCAUGCAGGGGCGCCGGGAGGAGGCGGUGAGAGGAAGGCGCCAUGCGCCUCACGCAGUUCCUCGGGCGACCGUCUCCGUGGGCAGCUGCUCCAGAGUGUACCCAGUGUACCGAGUGUACUGAGUGUACCGGACGGCGGCAGCGGGGACUCUCAGCUAGCUGCAGGACUGAAGACCCGUUCCAAUAGAAAGCGGUGGCCGGCACCGAGUGCUGAGCAGCUGCGGGCUCCGCAGCAGCAAACGGACACUUGGAGUGGGCUGGCCAAGGGACCGCAUGGCGACUAUCCCUGAGGCAAUCUUGCCCCUAACUCAGAAUGUCCUUUUCUCAGGAGGGACCUCGCAGGAACCCUUCCAAGGGACAAUACAGAGAGCCGCGGGGGGCCUUGGGACAACUGAUCUUGGGUUUCACUCUUGGGUGGCCUUGGUUCUCUUGGCUUGAUGAAGACUUUUUUUUUUCUGUGAUGAAUCUACUUCUUUGCAUAUGGAAUAAAAAGGGACGUUUUCUGG